GGGAGGUGUGAUCCGGUGCUCCCUGGGAGGUGUGAUCCUGUGCUUCCUGGGAGGUGUGAUCCUGUGCUUCCU
rnacentral:pre_miRNA from 2 species